GUCACAGAGGGUAGCCAGAGCCUCCCCUUCUCCCUGGUAGCCAGUGGUCCCAAUUUGCAAGUGUUCCUCAAACUCUAACAGGCUGAGGAGUCACUUGUGGGGUUUGCUAACCUGUACACUCUGACUCAGCGGGCCUGGGGUAGGCUGAGAGCCUGCUUUUUGAACACGGUCCUAGGUUUUGACCCUGCUCGUCCAUCGAUCACCCUUUGGGUAGCAAGGGAUGUGGAAACCACUUUCUGUUCCUUCUAGGAAAUGAAGAGAAUGAAACUGCUACUUUAGGCGCUAGAGAAGGGGCGAAGAAGCUUCUGAUGAGGGAGGGCAUGGACGGUCCCCUACAUGCAGAAGGUGACCGGAGGACUACCCACCUUCAAGUUCUUGGUCUACAUUAGACUGCCUAUGUGGUUUCUGUACAAGGAGUUUCCUGGGCAGAAGGCUCCUGGUACGGCCUGAGGUUGGGGCCUGUCCCGAUCCACCAGAGGAAGCCUGAAGCCGGGGAGCACAGGGUCCCUGGACACAAGCACUUCUGGAACUCUCUACGAGGCCAGCAGGCUGACUUCCGGGCCACUGGGCCAGACCAGUGGGAGGGGAGAACGGGAUCAAAGAAAGAAGGUGCCAUACUCGCUUCAUCCACGGGGUGGAGCAUUUUAGCCAGAGAAGGGACCUCGGGAGGCCGUGAAGUCCUAGGAGAAAGAGAUGAGCCUGGCCCUGUCCAGAGUCACGACCACCAAACCCUCCUCCGCGGGUGGUCAAGUCAUCAAACUUCUUAAACCUGGGGGCUGUGCCAAGGCCUAGCCUGGCAAAAGAAAGUCUUCUAUGCGCUCUAACAAAUUAAAAAAAUUGAGAGCCAAAAAGGGGCCAGGGAGACCAGUGAAUCUGACCCUUUCCCAACAAUGAGAAAUGCGAGGGCCAAGACAUGAGUGAGCAGUCCUGGCCAAGGUCGCACAGCCGGGCUGCGACAGACCAGCCCAGAACCCAGGUCCCCCGGACGACCUGUCACAGCGCUCUCACUGAGCAACCCCCGGGUCGUUCAGACAGGGUCCCUGCCCUGUAGACCUUCCAGUGCAGGUGGGAACCCGAACACAUGUUUUACUAAGAGGUACAGUCUGAGGGAGAAAACGGGUGCAGCGAGGAGGAAGGGGGAAGCGGACACAACCCUCCCGGGGGUGGAGUCCCCCAAGUCCGGAGGCGCCCGGAGGCUCCCUUCAUCUCCCUGGGGACAAGUUCCCUAAGCAGCCUGCUCGCUGCAGCUGCGCAGCUCUCUCUCCUCGCUUCUGCUCCCAGGUUCCCUCCCUGGAUGCUUUCCUCAACCUUGCGUCCAAAGGUGCCACCACUUACCUAUGGUCACGGGCUCUCUGUCGUUCUGUCUUAAGACCACGCGCCUCUACUUGACGUUACGUUAAGCAUACACGCUUGCACGCAUGCGCGGGCUUACACGCAUGCUCGCACGUACCCAUUCACUUUGCUUGCGCGUGCGUGCGCGCACCCCACGUUUACAUCCGCUUGUUGGACCAUUGUUUGUGGAGGGUGUAAACUCAGGUAACUUCGGGUUAGCAAUAAAUUGCCAGUACCCAGAACAGUGUUUGGUACGUAGAAGAUGCCCAAUAAAAAUACAAUUGACAAAUAAAGGGAAGACCAAGACUUCAAGUCCUUAAUCUGUGAAAAGAAUUAUUGUAAAGAUCAAAUUAAGUAAGAUAUGCAAAAUCACUCUGGCACCUGCCGAGCAUAAAGAAUUGAAAGGGGUUAGAUUAAAGGACUGUAGGUCGGACCCACUCACAGACUGGAGGACUAGCAAAA